UUGAACGCUGGCGGCAGGCCUAACACAUGCAAGUCGAGCGGUAGCACAGAGAGCUUGCUCUCGGGUGACGAGCGGCGGACGGGUGAGUAAUGUCUGGGAAACUGCCUGAUGGAGGGGGAUAACUACUGGAAACGGUAGCUAAUACCGCAUAAUGUCGCAAGACCAAAGUGGGGGACCUUCGGGCCUCAUGCCAUCAGAUGUGCCCAGAUGGGAUUAGCUAGUAGGUGGGGUAACGGCUCACCUAGGCGACGAUCCCUAGCUGGUCUGAGAGGAUGACCAGCCACACUGGAACUGAGACACGGUCCAGACUCCUACGGGAGGCAGCAGUGGGGAAUAUUGCACAAUGGGCGCAAGCCUGAUGCAGCCAUGCCGCGUGUGUGAAGAAGGCCUUCGGGUUGUAAAGCACUUUCAGCGGGGAGGAAGGCGGUGAGGUUAAUAACCUCACCGAUUGACGUUACCCGCAGAAGAAGCACCGGCUAACUCCGUGCCAGCAGCCGCGGUAAUACGGAGGGUGCAAGCGUUAAUCGGAAUUACUGGGCGUAAAGCGCACGCAGGCGGUCUGUCAAGUCGGAUGUGAAAUCCCCGGGCUCAACCUGGGAACUGCAUUCGAAACUGGCAGGCUAGAGUCUUGUAGAGGGGGGUAGAAUUCCAGGUGUAGCGGUGAAAUGCGUAGAGAUCUGGAGGAAUACCGGUGGCGAAGGCGGCCCCCUGGACAAAGACUGACGCUCAGGUGCGAAAGCGUGGGGAGCAAACAGGAUUAGAUACCCUGGUAGUCCACGCCGUAAACGAUGUCGAUUUGGAGGUUGUGCCCUUGAGGCGUGGCUUCCGGAGCUAACGCGUUAAAUCGACCGCCUGGGGAGUACGGCCGCAAGGUUAAAACUCAAAUGAAUUGACGGGGGCCCGCACAAGCGGUGGAGCAUGUGGUUUAAUUCGAUGCAACGCGAAGAACCUUACCUGGUCUUGACAUCCACAGAACUUUCCAGAGAUGGAUUGGUGCCUUCGGGAACUGUGAGACAGGUGCUGCAUGGCUGUCGUCAGCUCGUGUUGUGAAAUGUUGGGUUAAGUCCCGCAACGAGCGCAACCCUUAUCCUUUGUUGCCAGCGGUCCGGCCGGGAACUCAAAGGAGACUGCCAGUGAUAAACUGGAGGAAGGUGGGGAUGACGUCAAGUCAUCAUGGCCCUUACGACCAGGGCUACACACGUGCUACAAUGGCAUAUACAAAGAGAAGCGACCUCGCGAGAGCAAGCGGACCUCAUAAAGUAUGUCGUAGUCCGGAUUGGAGUCUGCAACUCGACUCCAUGAAGUCGGAAUCGCUAGUAAUCGUAGAUCAGAAUGCUACGGUGAAUACGUUCCCGGGCCUUGUACACACCGCCCGUCACACCAUGGGAGUGGGUUGCAAAAGAAGUAGGUAGCUUAACCUUCGGGAGGGCGCUUACCACUUUGUGAUUCAUGACUGG
rnacentral:rRNA from 1 species